rnacentral:rRNA from 1 species
UACGUAGGGUGCAAGCGUUGUCCGGAAUUAUUGGGCGUAAAGAGCUCGUAGGCGGUCUGUCACGUCGGCUGUGAAAACCCGAGGCUCAACCUCGGGCCUGCAGUCGAUACGGGCAGACUAGAGUUCGGUAGGGGGAGACUGGAAUUCCUGGUGUAGCGGUGAAAUGCGCAGAUAUCAGGAGGAACACCGGUGGCGAAGGCGGGUCUCUGGGCCGAAACUGACGCUGAGGAGCGAAAGCGUGGGGAGCGAACAGG